CCUGUAUCAGUCAACAUCACCAACAGUCAAACAUCAACAGAAUCGUCUGAUUGAAAAUGGCGUUAAAUGAUCCUCAUGUACAGGAUGAGGAGGACAAGAUUGGAGUCCAGCACAUGUUGCUAUAUGAGACUAGACCUCAGCUGAUCGGGAGGGGGUAUGGGAAAUGGCGCUGGUUGAUUCUGGGCCGAGAGAAGAACAUACAGAGAUUAAAUGAGACAGAGUGGCAGAGAGGAAGGGAAAAUGGAAAUGGCAAUUUACCACACAUCCUCAUGACAAACGGACGUUCUUUUCAAAACAAGCUACGAAACCUAACUGAUCGGAUCAACACAGAACCAGAGUACGAGAGGUGUCACAUGAUGGUCUUCACAGAGACCUGGAUGCCGGAGGGCCCUGAGGGUAAUGAGCCUAUAGGAGGUCUGAGUGUUUAUAUAAAACACGGUGUCAAUGCGGUUAUAAUAGGUGAGCAGCAAACCAAAACUGUCAAUUAUUGGUCAUCCGAUAUAAACCAGCAAACCACGCAAGAGAUGAACCUCCACUCUACUACAUUCUGGUGUACAUUAAAGCAACAGUGGAAGGAGAAGAAAGAACAAGAAUGAUGAUUGAAAGAUGCUACCGCAGAUGCCUCGUGUGGGCUAACGGAGGCCCUGUCUUCAUCCUUGGUGACUUCAAAUGGUAUGACUUUUCAAGGUCUAUCAAUGUACAGAACGAUCCUGAGGUGGAGUCGUAUGUGACCUGCCCCACUGGAGGAGAAGACAAUUGUUAUGGCAACGUCCGUCAGGCCUACUCGUCCCUGUGCAGACCACCGCUGCUUUCUGCUAACAACAUACCAUCUUCCUACAUGGUCAUUUUGUUGACCCGAGAACCUCAAACCUGCACCCACUGGGUUGAGGAAGUGGAGCAACUGCCUCAGAUGGCCAUUUUGACUUUGAAUGAUCAACCCCAGUGAACCCCUGGCGAAGCGACUCCACGUGAGUCUGAGGAACAGCCAGCAGGACUACAGAUGACACGACCACUGACAGCUGUUUCAUAUAGCCUACAUAUAUCUCCUAUACACUCUGAACCAUGAUCUCUUUUCUGUGACUUAAAGAUACUGUAAUAGUAAAUAAUGAAAGAAAAGAUUAAUAAUCAAAGAAAGGUGGAGGAUUGUGUGACUGAGACAUCUUUGUGUCUUUAUUGUUUCUAACAUUAUUAAUCAUGCUUGAAUGAAUGAUGAUACUCAUUAGUAUUGAUAUUUACUAUAAUCAUGCAUUCUGUGUGUCUCUUACUAUUUGCUAGUUUCAUUUUGCAUUUACAUUUAAUAGUAUGACAAAUUAAGUGUGUAUGGUGCUAUCUAUAGGGCAUACUUUAUAAAAUGUUUAUAAUCAUCCAUUUCUAACCGUAUUGUUUACAUAGAUGGCUUAUUAUCUGGAAGUUCUGUGGUAUUAGUGACUUACCUUCUGUAUCUCUACACUGAUGUACAAUAAAAACAAAUAUUCAGAAUCAAUAAAAAGGAAAGUGGAA